CGUGUAGGCGGUAUGGUAAGUCAGAUGUGAAAGCCCUGGGCUUAACCUAGGAAGUGCAUUUGAUACUGCCAUUCUUGAGUAUGGGAGAGGAGAGUGGAAUUCCCAGUGUAGAGGUGAAAUUCGUAGAUAUUGGGAGGAACAUCCGUGGCGAAGGCGACUCUCUGGACCAAUACUGACGCUGAGACGCGAAAGCGUGGGUAGCAAACA
rnacentral:rRNA from 1 species